rnacentral:rRNA from 1 species
CCUACGGGUGGCUGCAGUGGGGAAUAUUGGACAAUGGGGGGAACCCUGAUCCAGCCAUGCCGCGUGUGUGAAGAAGGCCCUCGGGUUGUAAAGUACUUUCAGUGAGGAAGAACGCCUGGUGGUUAAUACCCAUCAGGAAAGACAUCACUCACAGAAGAAGCACCGGCUAACUCCGUGCCAGCAGCCGCGGUAAUACGGAGGGUGCGAGCGUUAAUCGGAAUUACUGGGCGUAAAGCGCGCGUAGGUGGCUUGAUAAGCCGGUUGUGAAAGCCCCGGGCUCAACCUGGGAACGGCAUCCGGAACUGUCAAGCUAGAGUGCAGGAGAGGAAGGUAGAAUUCCCGGUGUAGCGGUGAAAUGCGUAGAGAUCGGGAGGAAUACCAGUGGCGAAGGCGGCCUUCUGGACUGACACUGACACUGAGGUGCGAAAGCGUGGGUAGCAAACAGGAUUAGAUACCCCUGUAGUC